AAUCAAUGAACUUGUAUAAGUAUGUAUUUUGAAAAUACAAAAAAGAAGAAUAAUCUUCUAUUGGUUU
rnacentral:tRNA from 1 species